rnacentral:lncRNA from 1 species
GGGAUUUGGGGGGGCGCUGGUGGGCACCCCUGGAUCUGGCGACUGCGGCCUCGCGGGGGGAGGCUGUACGGUGACAAGGGCAGGGGGCUAUUUUAGGGAGUAAGAAGGCUGUGAGACCGUGAGGGGGAGGGGGGUCCCCAGCGCUGGAGCCGGAGCAAGAGACGCUGAGCCCGCGCUAGCGGCGUAGACAGGGUUCCAGAGCUCCAGAUCCGGGCCCCGGCCGCCGCCAGGGGCCCCGCCCGGUGCCCCUACCCCACCCCGCGUCCCUCCUGCAGCCCAGCUCCUCCCGCAGUCGUCGCGGACCAGGUAGGUAAGAGCCCGGCCCAGCUUGCCCGGCAGCGCCCACCCUGGGGACCCCUGGGCUAGCGUUUCCGACCAGCUUGCCCGAAAUCCUACAUUCCCAUCUUCAUCCCAAGGGAACCCAGAGUCCAGAUUUCACAAGCCAACCCAAGAGACCCAGGCGUGUCCCUUCCCGGAGCUGAGAGUGCCCCGCCGAACCCUAGUAUCUCAGGCGGGCUACCUCCUUGUGCCUCCUCCAGGGCCCAGAAGCCUGGAUCCCUCAGCUCAGCCCAGGGGAUCCCUCAGUCUAGAUCCAUCCUCUGGGCCCAGUCCUGGGAGCUCCAGACCCUGGUCACCGCUGUGGGGCUUCCUCCAUUGCGUCCAAAUCGUUCCCCCAUUUGCGUCCCCCACCUUCUGGUUGAAUCAACCGGAGACGUUCCUCGGUCCAGGCCGGCUCGCCCUGGACACAGGCCCGCGCCGGAGCUGUCCAUGGUCAGCUCUCGGUAGCCUCGCCUCCCCCAUCUCCUUCCACGGCCGCUAGGGAGGAGGGGGGUGCAGGUGGUGUGGGGAUUCCUCCCCCUCACCGCGCCUUUGACCUGGGGUUCCCCGGCGCCCCCCUCCCAGAUGGGCCGCAGGGCUCUCAGGCCCAUCUUUAGGCACUCUAGCUUUCUGGGACUCUAGCUGCUUCACUUACAUAGAGCUUGUGAAUGUCCCUGCCCAGGCCACUUAGAAACCUUGGCAUGGAGCCUCCCGCUCCCACCUGGUUCUGAAAAGCUGUUAGUGUCCAUAUAUCUGCUGGCCCUGACUAAUCACUGUCACCUUAUUCAGCACCCGGGGAAUCCAGUUUCCUAGCCUUUGCCCCCACCUCCCCACUUAGCACCUACUUUAACAGCUCCCCCCUGCCCUCCGCAGACAAAUAUGACCAGCCUCUUGGUACACCAGCACCUGCUUGCUGCCUUAUAGACUCAGGCGCCAUGACUUCUUUUCAAAGACCUGGAAUGCAAUUCCUCUGCUUCUGUCCUCACUCCCCCUUGGAGAUCUAAGUGUCUCACCCCCAUCUUAUAACCUCCACCUGAACAAACACUCAUCUCAGGGACCCAGAAUCUCUGACAGUGGUGAGUGUCCUGUCCAUCAGACCACCCACCCAGGCUUACACUCCCACCAAACAGUCAGGCUCUAAGUUUCUUCACCCCUAGGUAGAUUCAAAAGUCUGGACCUUGGCUCUGCAUUCCACUCCCAUCUUCAUGUCUUGGUGGCCUCAACUUCACAUCUCCCAUGGCUUUAACGAGCACUUAUCAUCUGCUCUAUCAUCUCAGGUGCUAGACUUGCAGAGUCUCCUCUCCCCCAAAGCUGGAUAUUUCUGGCAUCUCAUUGCCUCUAGAGACCCAUAUGGUAAUAUCUGAUGUCUCAUACUCCAAGUACCAAACAGCCAUCCUUUCCUCCAGGUGUGUUUUGGGAUCAAGGUUCACGAGGUUAUUUGGAACCAGGCAGCUGUCUUUCUGCACUUCUAGUUAAAAAUGUGUCCUUUCCCUGUGUUAUGUUCAAGAUCCUAAGUUCCAGAACAUUUCCAGAUGAUGUGCCUGUUCCGUCCUCACCAAGGCAUGUGAUCCACUUCAAGGCCAUGAACUAACUUCUAAGCAUGUCUUUUUUUUUACUUGCUCCUUUCCCAUCCCCAGUGGCAGGAUUUUGCCAUGCGUCCCAGGCUGGAUUAGAACUCACUAUGUUGUCUACAUUUUUCCUCCUCCUCUUCAUCCUCUUUUUCUUCUAUUUAUUCUUCUCCUCUUCCCCUUCCUUCUUUUUCUUUUUUGGUCUUUACCAAUAUCUAGACAACAUGCCUAAGCCAUUCUCUGCUCUCAGGCCUCUCCUCAGACAUGCCCUAUAUUUCUAGCUACAGGGGCUGGGGUUGUUGCUGGGGCAGAGCACUUACCUCACAUGCACAAAGGCCAGGCUUCAAUUACUAGCACUUGACCAAUUACAAAAAGGGCUCACUUUAUGCCCACCCUUAAAGACUAGUAUCUGCUGAGUUUCCAUUGUAGAUGUGUUUUAUGUUCGGGCCACGUCUGCUGAUGUUCUAGAUUCCCUUCUUCCCAGGAUAUUCUAACUUGCAGAAUGUGUCAUUUUCAAUUAAAUAGUCUAGUAUUCUUUGGAACUCUAGUGUGCACAGUCUUUUUUUUAAUUAAUUAAUUAUUUUUAUUUUAUGUGCAUUAGUGUUUUGUCUGCAUAUAUGUUUAUGCAAGGGUGCCAGGUCCUCUGGAACUGGAAUUAGACCAUUGUGAGCUGCCAGGUAAGUGUUAGGAAUUGAACACAGGUCCUCUUGCAGAGUAGUCAGUGCUAUUAAUCAUUGUGCCAUCUCUCCAGCCCCCCAUAGCUUACACAAUCUUAAACCUGGAAGUUUCCAGAGCCGUGUUCUGCUUAUCUUAUGAAGCCUCGGGUUCUAGAUCCCUGUCUGCAGCUUCUGCCUUUCCUUACUGUGGCCUUAGCUUUGGUGUCAGUCUUGUUCCCAGCUGGGUCAGAGGCUUCCAGCUCCAUCUGCUGCCCUGGCAUUCUGAGCCUGUUCUAGAUGCUGGCCUUUUCUAGAGUCUUCAGGUUCAAAAUGUUCCUGUUUCCUAAACAGACCACCCCCACCAGAG